rnacentral:rRNA from 3 species
UUAAGCGACUAAGCGUACACGGUGGAUGCCCUGGCAGUCAGAGGCGAUGAAGGACGUGCUAAUCUGCGAUAAGCGUCGGUAAGGUGAUAUGAACCGUUAUAACCGGCGAUUUCCGAAUGGGGAAACCCAGUGUGUUUCGACACACUAUCAUUAACUGAAUCCAUAGGUUAAUGAGGCGAACCGGGGGAACUGAAACAUCUAAGUACCCCGAGGAAAAGAAAUCAACCGAGAUUCCCCCAGUAGCGGCGAGCGAACGGGGAGGAGCCCAGAGCCUGAAUCAGUGUGUGUGUUAGUGGAAGCGUCUGGAAAGGCGCGCGAUACAGGGUGACAGCCCCGUACACAAAAAUGCACAUGCUGUGAGCUCGAUGAGUAGGGCGGGACACGUGGUAUCCUGUCUGAAUAUGGGGGGACCAUCCUCCAAGGCUAAAUACUCCUGACUGACCGAUAGUGAACCAGUACCGUGAGGGAAAGGCGAAAAGAACCCCGGCGAGGGGAGUGAAAAAGAACCUGAAACCGUGUACGUACAAGCAGUGGGAGCACAGAGCAAUCUGUGUGACUGCGUACCUUUUGUAUAAUGGGUCAGCGACUUAUAUUCUGUAGCAAGGUUAACCGAAUAGGGGAGCCGAAGGGAAACCGAGUCUUAACUGGGCGUUAAGUUGCAGGGUAUAGACCCGAAACCCGGUGAUCUAGCCAUGGGCAGGUUGAAGGUUGGGUAACACUAACUGGAGGACCGAACCGACUAAUGUUGAAAAAUUAGCGGAUGACUUGUGGCUGGGGGUGAAAGGCCAAUCAAACCGGGAGAUAGCUGGUUCUCCCCGAAAGCUAUUUAGGUAGCGCCUCGUGAAUUCAUCUCCGGGGGUAGAGCACUGUUUCGGCAAGGGGGUCAUCCCGACUUACCAACCCGAUGCAAACUGCGAAUACCGGAGAAUGUUAUCACGGGAGACACACGGCGGGUGCUAACGUCCGUCGUGAAGAGGGAAACAACCCAGACCGCCAGCUAAGGUCCCAAAGUCAUGGUUAAGUGGGAAACGAUGUGGGAAGGCCCAGACAGCCAGGAUGUUGGCUUAGAAGCAGCCAUCAUUUAAAGAAAGCGUAAUAGCUCACUGGUCGAGUCGGCCUGCGCGGAAGAUGUAACGGGGCUAAACCAUGCACCGAAGCUGCGGCAGCGACGCUGAUGCGUUGUUGGGUAGGGGAGCGUUCUGUAAGCCUGUGAAGGUGUGCUGUGAGGCAUGCUGGAGGUAUCAGAAGUGCGAAUGCUGACAUAAGUAACGAUAAAGCGGGUGAAAAGCCCGCUCGCCGGAAGACCAAGGGUUCCUGUCCAACGUUAAUCGGGGCAGGGUGAGUCGACCCCUAAGGCGAGGCCGAAAGGCGUAGUCGAUGGGAAACAGGUUAAUAUUCCUGUACUUGGUGUUACUGCGAAGGGGGGACGGAGAAGGCUAUGUUGGCCGGGCGACGGUUGUCCCGGUUUAAGCGUGUAGGCUGGUUUUCCAGGCAAAUCCGGAAAACUAAGGCUGAGGCGUGAUGACGAGGCACUACGGUGCUGAAGCAACAAAUGCCCUGCUUCCAGGAAAAGCCUCUAAGCAUCAGGUAACAUCAAAUCGUACCCCAAACCGACACAGGUGGUCAGGUAGAGAAUACCAAGGCGCUUGAGAGAACUCGGGUGAAGGAACUAGGCAAAAUGGUGCCGUAACUUCGGGAGAAGGCACGCUGAUAUGUAGGUGAAGUCCCUCGCGGAUGGAGCUGAAAUCAGUCGAAGAUACCAGCUGGCUGCAACUGUUUAUUAAAAACACAGCACUGUGCAAACACGAAAGUGGACGUAUACGGUGUGACGCCUGCCCGGUGCCGGAAGGUUAAUUGAUGGGGUCAGCGCAAGCGAAGCUCUUGAUCGAAGCCCCGGUAAACGGCGGCCGUAACUAUAACGGUCCUAAGGUAGCGAAAUUCCUUGUCGGGUAAGUUCCGACCUGCACGAAUGGCGUAAUGAUGGCCAGGCUGUCUCCACCCGAGACUCAGUGAAAUUGAACUCGCUGUGAAGAUGCAGUGUACCCGCGGCAAGACGGAAAGACCCCGUGAACCUUUACUAUAGCUUGACACUGAACAUUGAGCCUUGAUGUGUAGGAUAGGUGGGAGGCUUUGAAGUGUGGACGCCAGUCUGCAUGGAGCCGACCUUGAAAUACCACCCUUUAAUGUUUGAUGUUCUAACGUUGACCCGUAAUCCGGGUUGCGGACAGUGUCUGGUGGGUAGUUUGACUGGGGCGGUCUCCUCCUAAAGAGUAACGGAGGAGCACGAAGGUUGGCUAAUCCUGGUCGGACAUCAGGAGGUUAGUGCAAUGGCAUAAGCCAGCUUGACUGCGAGCGUGACGGCGCGAGCAGGUGCGAAAGCAGGUCAUAGUGAUCCGGUGGUUCUGAAUGGAAGGGCCAUCGCUCAACGGAUAAAAGGUACUCCGGGGAUAACAGGCUGAUACCGCCCAAGAGUUCAUAUCGACGGCGGUGUUUGGCACCUCGAUGUCGGCUCAUCACAUCCUGGGGCUGAAGUAGGUCCCAAGGGUAUGGCUGUUCGCCAUUUAAAGUGGUACGCGAGCUGGGUUUAGAACGUCGUGAGACAGUUCGGUCCCUAUCUGCCGUGGGCGCUGGAGAACUGAGGGGGGCUGCUCCUAGUACGAGAGGACCGGAGUGGACGCAUCACUGGUGUUCGGGUUGUCAUGCCAAUGGCACUGCCCGGUAGCUAAAUGCGGAAGAGAUAAGUGCUGAAAGCAUCUAAGCACGAAACUUGCCCCGAGAUGAGUUCUCCCUGACUCCUUGAGAGUCCUGAAGGAACGUUGAAGACGACGACGUUGAUAGGCCGGAUGUGUAAGCGCAGCGAUGCGUUGAGCUAACCGGUACUAAUGAACCGUGAGGCUUAACCUU